rnacentral:rRNA from 1 species
AUGUUGUUAUCAAGCAGAUUGAGCAGGAUGAGGCUGCUGCCACUGACGGCAGGGCUGGUGAUGGUACUUAAUGUUUCUGAUCACGAAAUGAAUGAUGUUGGCUUGGAGCGUCCUGUUGUUGAUAUUGAGCAAGAUGAGGCUGCUGCCACCGACAGCAGGGCUGAUGAUGGUACUCAGGCUAAUGUUUCUGAUCACCAUACAAACAAUGUUGGCUUGGAGAACCCUGUUGUUGAUAGACCAGCCAUAAUGUUGAGGCUGCUGUUAACUGUGGAAUUAAUGAUCCAUCUACUAAUAAGUGCAAGGGUCCUGUUGUUGGCGACCAGCCUUGUUCGCCCAUUGGUGAUGUUCCUUUGA